ensembl:lncRNA
AAUGCACUGACUUGGAGCGUUGCAAGCAUAAGGUAAAAAGUGCUGAGUGCGACAGGGAGGGCAAAGGAACCUGACCCUGCAUGAAGGAGAAUGCAGCUGAAUGAGCCUUGGGCAUAGUCUUGCCUAGUGGUGGGAGGCUCAAAGGGGAACAUUCAGCUAAAUGCCCCAUCAGCACUCACACUUCAACCCCCAUCUCUUCAGACAUGCCUAUUGUGAGUGAACGAGUGAGCAUGCAGGAAUAUUGAGAUUUAAUACUACUUAGUGCAAAGGAUCAACUCUAGGGCUUGUCUUUACUUGCACACGUAGUCUCUGCUAGAACGUGCGCAGUAGUACACCGACACUGGACUGCACACUGUGUGGACUUGACCUUGCACAGAAAAAUUGGGUAUUUGCAGGGCUAGCAAAAAUUGCACUUCCCAGAUAAAAGUGAGAGCAGGCAGGGAAAGUAAGGCAGCCCCAAAGCAGAAAGAGAGAACAGUCAUACUGAUUCAAGUGUAACAUGAAAAAUUAAAACACCGUCCCAGUAGCAACGAGAGACAAAUUAAAAGUGGAACUCGCUUGGAUAGUAAAAUUAAACAUUAUUGAGUGAAUUCAGAGUGAGGGGGUAAAGACUAUGGCCACUGUUAUAAGACAACAUAAUUUUGUAUAGAUCCAAAAGGUUUGAAUAAGGCUGUUAAAUGUGAGGAUUAGCCCAUGAGAAUAGAGGACGCAGUCACAGCUAGACUUUAAGAUGACAUUAGCAUCAAGUAAAGGGAUGCGUUGUAACAUUUUGCAGCUCUGCAAAGAAGGUGAAGGUGAUACAGAAAGCGAAUGGGGAAACAAACCAGAGAGACAGAUCUCCGCACUAGACGUGCUUACAGAACGGCCAAUUUCUGAGUGUGGCGGUGCUGAGGCUGCAGGGCCUCCUCCUUUCUCACAGUCUCCCAGGGCUGGUGUUUCAAUGAAAGUGAAACAACCCUGCAAGCUACUGGCUACUCCCCCUUUCCCAUCUUCAUCCAGGAGUUAUUUUGUACUCAGCGCAGAAAUGGAAACUGCUUGUGAAGAUGGCUGAUUACAUUUAGAGUGGGAUGGCGGGGGAGGGAGCACUCCUACUGAUGCCAUGGUUUCCAGGAUAAAAUAACAGGCAGUUCAUUCUUGCCAUGGAUUCACUGGCUGCUGCUGUCUCCUUCCACAGCAGCCAAAUGCUGGUACAUUUAAAAAAUUCAUCUACUGCUUACAACACAGACAUCAGCUAUAUCAUGCAUAUGUGCAGCCUGUGGAACAGAACUCAUCAAGACCUUCUGCUCCAAAACCAAACAGGCCUGCUACCUGAGCUAAUGGAGAAUGUCUGAUAGCUAUGGUAGUAAUUGUAGAAGGGGCAUAUGCUCUAUGGGCCAUUCAUUUGCUCAAGGGAGCCAGUCUCUCUCAUGCUCUCUCACACACAAGCACACGAGCAGCUCUGACCAAUAGGGGGUAGUAGUGAUAGACGUUCUAGUCAUUACAUUACAUAAGCGACUGAACACUGUUCCAGAACAUCAUGAGUUUUUGAAUAAAGUGUAGCUAUGUAGAAUCUCCGAAAUGAGG